UGGAUGACCAUGUGCAUACCUCCAUUCCUUAGGAAGAUCUUGAUUUCUCGUUGGAGGUUGAUCUUCUUCACCUUGCUGAAUUGUAUUUUCUUUGAUCUCGUCCUCAUGUUGUUUGUCUUGUAUGGAGAAUUCCUUCAUUCUGUCUUCAAGUAUACCUGCAUCACCAUCUUCUUCUUUUCUAGAAGAAUCUCCAUUAGCUUCAUCAAAAACAACAUGAAUGGAUUCUUC
rnacentral:lncRNA from 1 species